UUUGGUUUGUUACGUGUGGAUGGCUGUUUGCUCGCGCACCAACGUUCACGCUUCAUACCUCUUCAGUUUUGCGUCAUGACUUGAUUUGUCUUGAGCAUGUCGUGGGUUUCCUGUGUUGCAUACCUAAUUGACGGUAACGUGUGGGUUUUACGGUUAUCUAUUUCGUCAUGUGUCGUUCAUGCGGCGUGGGAUGAACAAUGAAACGGCCUUUGUGAUCCACAGUGGUGUUGCGUUUGCAACAACGAUGUGGCCUAUGAAGCAUCGUUUGGUCUCUUGUAUACGGAACCUGAUGUGGGCAUGGGUCUUCAUAAGAUCCUUCAUUAUGCCCUCGUUAAGCGUUCUCGCUUCUCCAAAACGAUUGCCUGCCAUGUUACGGCUUUGUUCGUUCAUGGUGGGCUACGUCGAAGA
rnacentral:misc_RNA from 1 species